rnacentral:rRNA from 1 species
GACGAACGCUGGCGGCGUGCUUAACACAUGCAAGUCGAACGGUAAGGCCCUUCGGGGUACACGAGUGGCGAACGGGUGAGUAACACGUGGGUGAUCUGCCCUGCACUUCGGGCUAAGCCUGGGAAACUGGGUCUAAUACCGGAUAGGACCACUGCCUGCAUGGGAGGUGGUGGAAAGCUUUUGCGGUGUGGGAUGGGCCCGCGGCCUAUCAGCUUGUUGGUGGGGUGAUGGCCUACCAAGGCGACGACGGGUAGCCGGCCUGAGAGGGUGACCGGCCACACUGGGACUGAGAUACGGCCCAGACUCCUACGGGAGGCAGCAGUGGGGAAUAUUGCACAAUGGGCGCAAGCCUGAUGCAGCGACGCCGCGUGAGGGAUGACGGCCGUCGGGUUGUAAACCUCUUUCAGCACCGACGAAGCGCAAGUGACGGUAGGUGCAGAAGAAGGACCGGCCAACUACGUGCCAGCAGCCGCCGUAA